UUACCUUGUGUUCCAAGGGAAACUUAGGCCCCCCCUCAAAGAAGGAUCUUGUUUAUCCUCCCUCCCGUCUUCAAUACCUGUUAGAGACUUUAGAGAUCUUCCUUCUGACCUUUAUGAUGAGCGUCGUCCAGGAGCCAUAGAACUGCUUGCAAGCCAAUUUUCCCAUGUUCAGAAAGAUGACUGGAUACUCUGUAACACUUUUCUUGAGCUCGAAACUCAGGUUAGCUUUGUUGAAUAUAUUACCAGGUCAAGUACUAUAAGAUUUUAGUUGCCCCUUAGUUAUGAAGUCGUAAAUUAUGUUUUUCUUCUAUAUAUUAUCAAUAACUUGCAUCAUAUAACUUGCAUUCAAGAUAUUUUACAAUCUUGAACAUGUAUAUAUUUUUUAGAUAUAGAUAUAUGUUACUAUUACUUAUUAGCGUCAGCCAUUUAUACUGCCCCAUAAACAUAUAUUGGUGGAAUCGAAAAUAUUGUUGAAAGUUUUAUAUAUUAUGUUCAAAAAUAUAUUUAUCUAUGGAGAUUUGAUUAUGUAUAUUUUGUCAAAAGAUCAAGACUGAAUCAUCCCGAAGCUUGACUGAACUUUUGAAAAAGCUUGACAGAACUUACCCUGUUAAUCCAAUUGUCAGUCGUGACUCAUGCCCUGGAUUUUGGAUAUAAGUAGGAAGGUUGGUUUAACAGUUUUGACAAGCUUGAGAAUGAGAUAAUAUCUUGUUACUUGGAUGUCGUUUUAAGGUUUUCUUUCUUUUGUUGAGAUGAGGUAGGCUUUGGUAUAUUAUAUUGUGGAUGAGUCUUGCAAAUGAGGUGGGUUGUUUUAGCACUUGAUUAAACUGACCAUGCGGCAAAAUAUUACAGCAAGCGCUGUUGAUUUAGGGUUAUUUCUUCAUAGAACAAUAUUUGAGGUCGAAUAUUAUGCUGUCUUCGUCUUUGGCAAUGUGCAAUAUAUUGGAAGUUCAGUUGGACUUUAAAAAUGAUCCAUCUCACAGUGCACUUUCUCUUUGCCACCACUGAGGACCAGAACUUAACGUGCAUUUAGGCCAAGAUAUUGAAUAUGCAUAUGCAAUAAACUUGCCAGGUUCAAGUCAUUAUGUUUUCCACAUUUCGUACUUCAUUACAAUUUUCAUGUAUUUACUGGUUCAUCUGAUCUAAUUUUUAUGUUCCUGAUUUGUACAACAAAAUCUCUUAACUUCAGAAUGUUUGUAAUCAGCACAAGACACUUUCUUUCAGGUUGUGAAUUGGUUGUCAAGCAAAUGGAAAAUUAUGACCAUAGGACCAUCAGUUCCAUCAAUGUUCUUGGACAAGCGAUUAGCUGAUGACAGAGACUAUGGGCUCAGCCUCUUCAAGCCCGAAGGAGAAGCAUGCAUCAAGUGGCUAGAUGAGAAAGAUACUGACUCAGUAGUCUAUGUGUCAUUUGGGAGCUUAGCCAACCUGGUGCAAGACCAAAUGGAUGAAAUAGCUUGGGGCUUGUUGAACAGCGAAUGCAACUUUUUAUGGGUAGUCAGAGAUACUGAAAAGAGUAAGCUUUCAGAAAAGUUCAUUGAAGAAUCUGCUGACAGAGGCCUGAUUGUGAACUGGUGCCCUCAACUCGAAGUCUUGGCCCACGAUGCUGUAGGGAGCUUCAUGACACAUUGUGGUUGGAACUCAACUCUUGAGGCUUUGUCUUUGGGUGUGCCAAUGAUGGUACUUCCUCAGUGGACGGAUCAAACAACUAAUGCCAAGUACAUUGUGGAUGUAUGGAAAACUGGUGUUCGAGUGAAAGCGCAUGACAAGGAGAGCAUCACAAGGGAGGACAUAACUAAGUCUGUGAAAGAUGUCAUGGAGGGAACAAAGAGGGAAGAGCUGAAAACCAAUGCCCUUAAAUUGAAGGAAAUGGCUAUAGAGGCAAUGAGUGAAGGUGGAAGCUCUGAUAAGAAUAUCGACGAUUUCAUUUCAGAAAUUGUGAACCCUACCACCUCUACCUGAAUGUCGUGUGCUGAUUGUUCUGCUCUCGUGUAGGAUUUUGUGGGAAGUAGAAUAUAGGGCUUGGAGGGAGUUUUUCGUAUCUUUGAGUUGGCAAAGCUGGUACAAGAAUUUAAAUUUUAUGGUAGAAGAGGUACUUCAUACCAAUUAUACAGACAUAAUGUCAACUAAUACUGGCAUCAAUUUGAAAUUUAUUAAUGUUCUGGAAUACCUGCAAUUUGCUCAUCAGUAUUUAUCUUUUUGCUUAGCAGUACUACUUUUCAACAUUAUUAUCGGCACCGAUUUGAAUUGCAUAAUGUUCUAUGAGAUAUAAAAUGGUCAUCAGUAUUUUAUAAUAUUAGAAGAAAACAAUAAUAGCUUGAAGCGUAUUUAAUUUUUCUGAACUCAUUUGAGAAAAAAUUUGUCCCAAUUUUUGUUUGGUCUUUCCAUUUGCAACAUGGAUGUUUUUUUAUUAAACACUGAUGGCGCUUCUGGCACUGGCAGUAGAUGUAUAGAUAACUGGGAGUUUGAGGCCUUAUUUGUAAUGCUUAUGGAGUGUGGUUUAAAGGUUUUAUGGUCGAGUUGUGGGUUAUUGAGCGAGUCCUGGGCAUAGCCUUGCGAUCUUCAUCUUCCUCACCUAUGUCUUAAAAUGGAUUCUCUCUCCAAAGAGGUCACAUUAGUCUGAUAAUGCAAUUCAGCAAGUCCUGGUUCCGCCAUUGUCCUUAACAACUCAAUCAAAAUUGAGUAUUUCUCUUAUGAAAAUGACCAAACAUCCCAAACCCCGGAAGAAUAGAUGGCUAAUAUCCAAAAACAGGCAUUGGACAAGUUGGUUCAAGUCAUAGAAGAACAGAAGAGAUGUGGCCGCCCCCUUGAUGUCCAUGAUUCACUGAUGCCAUGGGCAGUGGAUUUCGGACAUCAACAUGGUUUAAGAGUAGCUUGUUUUUUCACUCAAAUUUCUGUGGUUAACGCGAUUUGUUAUCUUGUAAUACAAGGGAUCUUUAAAUUCCCCUCGAGGAAGGAUGUAGGGCCGUUGGGACAAGUUUAAAAAAAGUGAUUCGCUUAAGGUAAAGAAAUGGAUUAAAAGUCAGAAGUUAAUAAAUUAAGAAAAUGUUUGGAAAAAAGUAGAAGCUCUAUAAGAAAAGUUAGCAUUUUCAGCUCUAAAAAAAACUUCCACUUGUCUACGCAAACGGAUCAGGAUGUCAAUAGUUGCUUCUGCUGAACAAACAGGGCGUAGUCUAUCCUUCCUUCCGCCUUCGAUACCUAUUAAAGAUGUCAGAGAUCUAUCUUCUGACCUUUAUGAUGAACGUUAUCCAGGAGUGUUGGAUGUGCUUGCAGGCCAAUUUUCUCACGCUCAUGAGGAUGUUUGGAUACUCCGCGGUGUUCUAAAAGUCGGCGAUUAAUCUUGAUUAAUCAUGAUUAAUCGCCGAUUAAUCGCUGUUCGGUCGGCCACCGUCUCGAUUAAGCGUUAAUCGGUGAAAAAAUUGUUUUUUCUGAAAAUCGGGUUUAAUCGGAAAAAAUCGGUGAAUUUAAAAAAUUUAAAAAUAAAAAGUAAAAAAAUUUUAAAUUUUUAAAUUUAAUUCUUAUUUUAGUAGGAAAAAUUAAAAAGAAUGAGUUAUACUCUCUCGGUUAGGAUAUAGUAAACACUUAACUUAUUUUCACGCACUUUUAAAAAUUUUCACAGUACAUUUAUAAAUAUUAUUUUUAAUAAUUUCUUUUUGUGAAUAAAAAAUAGCACUAAUAUUUUAUUCACAAAGAGAAUAUUUUAAAAAUAAUAUAUAUAAGUAACCGGUUAAAAUUCUUGAAAGUUGUGAAAAAAAGUCGACUAUUAUAUCUAGGGGUGAACAUGGGUUGGGUUGGGCGGGUUUUUAGAAAAAAACGACCCAACCCAAUUAGUGCGGGUUAAUAAAAAUUUAACCCAUUAACUGAAAAAAAAUUAUGUAACCCAACCCUACCCAACCCAAUUAAUUCGGGUUGGUUCGGAUUGGUUUGGGUUAAACAUGCGAAAAUAAUAAUUAAUAAAAAUUUAGUCAUUCAUCGGGAUAGGAAAAAAAAAUAUACUCACUCGCACGUCGAUAGCUAGUAAUAGUCGGCAUACAUAUUUAUAGUUAUUCAGUUUCUAUGAAUCAUUCACUAAUAUUAGUCGAUGCGUAAGUUUUUUAAUUAAAGAGGGAAACCUAUUACAUUAGUGAAACAUUUGAAAAAUGGUGAAAUAAUAGAAAAUUGUUGUAUACACCCUCAGUUAUGGACUCUUAUUUAUAAGUUGUAUAUCAGUUCAGAUCAUUAACCAUGUUCAAAUUCCAAAAGUCAUCAUUUACAUUUAUAGUUAUCGAGAUACUUAAAAUUAUUCAUAUUAUUAUUGUAAAUGUAUAGACACACCCCAGAUAAAUCAAAUUCAGGUUAAAGAUUCAUGAGGAUAAACUCAAAAAUGUAAGAUAGGUAUGUAAAUAUUAUACACACACACAUAUAUAAUCGGGUUGGGUUGGGUUAGUUAGGGUUAAAAUCUGUAAAACCUUAACCCAACCCAACUUUAUCGGGUUUUUUAAAAACUAACCCAUUUAUUUUUCGGUUUUAAACGGGUCGGGUUAAUCGGCCUAAAAAAGGGUUGGUUUGAGUUGGGUUAGCGGGUUGAACGGGUUUAUGUUCACCCCUAAUUAUAUCCUAUGUUAGAGAAUAAAACUGAAGCAGCUGUCCAAAUAGUAAAAAAUAUAUAAACCGGAUGAGACGGAGAAAGUAAAUGAAAGUGAAGUUAUUGCAAGCGACAACAUGUUAAAAUGAAAGAGGAACAACAUGACAUGCUCAAAUGAACUAUUGAUAUCAUUAAAAGAAAAUGUGUCAUUUUGAGAUCAUAAUAUGUUUUUUGAGAAUAAUUUUUUUUAAAGAUAUAAUUUAAGUAGAAUUAAAUAUUAAUAUAUUGAUAUAUAAUAAAUUCUAUAUCUCAAUAAUGAUAGUUUAAAAAAAUAAAUUAUAAAUAUCAUAUUUUUAAUAAAUUAAUAAAUUUAAAAAGUUUAUAUACCUGUGCUUGACAUGGGUCAUAAAAAUUUAAAAAGUUUAUAUAAUCUCAUGCUUGCACGCUUUAUAAACUAGUAUAUAGAUAUCAUGUUUUUUUCGGAUUUUAAGAACGGUAAGCACUAAAAUCCAAUAAAAUUUUGGGUCUCAAAGUCAAAUCUAAAUCCAAGAUAUCAGAUUUGAUAUACUCCCUCAGUCCCACUAGGAAGCUUACAUACACUGUUUGCACGUAUUUUGAGACUCUCGUAAAAUAUAGUUCUAUAACGUAUUUUUGAUUUUUUCUUUUUUUGAAUAAAAGUUUAAACUUCAAAUUUUUUUCCGGAUUUUUUUUAAAUAUAUAUAUAUAAUGUAAAUAUACUUUAUAAAAAUCUAAAAUGUAUGCCAAAAAGUAACGUAAAGAAUCUGGUGGUACGGUGGGAGCAUUCAUUUUCGGAUUUGCGAUCAUGUAUCUGUCAGAUGGGUGGAUAACACGUUAGGUAGAAAAGAAAGAAGAACACACAGUUUGAAAUACUUGCGACGUAUUCAGAUUUCCACAUAAUACAACUGACUGACCUGUUUUGAAAUGAAAGGUAAACAGAACUUCCAGUUCUACAAAAAAAAAAUCUUAAUUAGAAACAAGGCAAAGUAGGUCUUGCCAAUAAGUUGUAGGAAUGGAAGGAGUUGGAAUUGAGAGUGAGCUGAGAAUGAUGAAAACACCCCACAUUUUGUUGAUUUCACUUCCUUUCCAAGGACACGUUAGCCCCAUGGUGCAAUUCACCAAGAGGUUGGCUUCCAAAGGCCUACAAGUCACAUUUCUUUGUCCCUCUUCCACCAUUGUCAUUAACCAAUCGGACUCCAUCAACAUUGAGUACAUCUCCUAUAAAGAUGGUCCAACAGUCCAAGACUUGGAACUUUAUAUGGCUAAUAUCCAAAAACAUGCAUCCGACAAGUUGGUUCAAGUCAUCGAAAAACAGAAGAGAUGUGGUCAUCCCUUUGACGUCCUUGUGCAUGAUUCACUCAUGCCAUGGGCAGUUGAUUUUGGACAUCAACAUGGUUUAAGAGUAGCUUCUUUUUUCACUCAAGCCUGUGCAGUUAACGCGAUUUAUUACCUUGUGUUCCAAGGGAAACCUAGGCCCCCCCUCGAGGAAGGAUCUAGUUUAUCCUCCCUCCCACUUUCGAUACCUGUUAGAGACUAUAGAGAUCUUCCUUCUGACCUUUAUGAUGAGCGUCAUCCAGGAUCCAUAGAACUGCUUGGAAGCCAAUUUUCCCAUGUUCAGAAAGAUGAUUGGAUACUCUGUAACACUUUUCUUGAGCUCG
rnacentral:lncRNA from 1 species